rnacentral:lncRNA from 1 species
CAAAAUUAAAGUUCAACCUAUUCUAAGAAUUUAAAUGCAAAGGUGUAAGAAGAAAUUCUAGGUUGCCUCCUAGUAGCGCUCGUUUAACGUCACGAGCCUGACCCAAACCUGUUUGGCACUUGUCAGUAAGUGCACUUUCUUCCAACACCCAUCAAUAGGUGUGCCUUCUUGGAAUCCAUCAGUGGAUUUAAAAUUUUUAGCAUCCCUCAGUAGAUGUUAAUCAUUAUUGCCAUCAGAAGCAGAGCAUAACCAAAAAAUAAAAUAAAAUAAAAUAAAAUAAAAUAAAAUAAAAAAUAAUAAAAUAAUAAAAUAAUAAAAUAAAAUAAAAUAAAAUAAAGUAAAAUAAAAUAAAAUAAAAUCAAAUAAAAUAAGAUAAAAUCAAAUCAAAUCAAAUCAAAUCAAAUCAAA